GCGGGAGAGGUCUAAUUUGUAAUGACGCUUAGAUAACCUACUAAGAGAUCCAGGUUCAAAUCCUGGCUCCCGCUCCA
rnacentral:tRNA from 1 species